GACGAACGCUGGCGGCGUGCUUAACACAUGCAAGUCGAGCGGUAAGGCCUCUUCGGAGGUACACGAGCGGCGAACGGGUGAGUAACACGUGGGUGACCUGCCCUCAGCUCUGGGAUAAGCCCGGGAAACUGGGUCUAAUACCGGAUACGACUUUUCCUCGCAUGGGGAUUUGUGGAAAGCCCUGGUCUUCAUCGGUUGGGGUGGCUGGGGAUGGGCCCGCGGCCUAUCAGCUUGUUGGUGGGGNGAUGGCCUACCAAGGCGACGACGGGUAGCCGGCCUGAGAGGCGACCGGCCACACUGGGACUGAGACACGGCCCAGACUCCUACGGGAGGCAGCAGUGGGGAAUAUUGCGCAAUGGGCGAAAGCCUGACGCAGCGACGCCG
rnacentral:rRNA from 1 species